AUUGAUUAGAGGCACAUUAAAGUUCUCCCACUCCCUCUACGAUCUAAUUAACCCUCUCUAAUUAACCAUCACUUCUCUCCCUUCCUCCACACAACCUCAAUGUCGCAGCCCUAGCUUUGCCGUCGCAUUUCAGCCGCAUGUCGCCGCCGUUCCGCCGCUGCCGUUAACGAUCGCUCAAGCUGAGCGUAAAUCUGAUGAUGAUCGCCGGAGAAGCUCUGGAAUCAAACAUCACGGUGAUCGGACCGCUCGUUCUCCAAGCAAUUGCUCAUUGCACAUCCCCUAAUCAAAUCGAAGGCGUACAUCCGCGAUUUCACAUCAUCGCUUCACUACGUAUCCAUCUCAUCAAGCGAAGAAAGGUUAUCUGAUAAUGACAUACUGGAUUCCGGAUGGACCUUUCUUGCUUUCUUCUAAUGCUAGUCAUUAUGUUGAAGUUGGCUCCUUUGUAAUCAAUCAUAAAGAUGAGUGGUACAAGAAAAACAUACUACUCCAGAUCUUCUUCAUCUUUGGAAAAUACCCACUGGUUUAAUUCUUGAGAAAUUUACUGUCUCGUUCCAUACAAGUGCUAGUGGUACAAGAAAAACAUAC